GACGAACGCUGGCGGCGUGCUUAACACAUGCAAGUCGAACGGGCCUUGUCCCCUUUUUUUUGGGGGUGGGGUUAGUGGCGAACGGGUGAGUAACACGUGAGUAACCUGCCCCUCACUUCUGGAUAACCGCUUGAAAGGGUGGCUAAUACGGGGUGUUCUGGCCUGCUCGCAUGGGUGGGUUUGGAAAGAUUCGACCGGUUUUGGUUGUUUUGGUGGGGGAUGGGCUCGCGGCCUCUCAGCUUGUUGGUGGGGGGAUGGCCUGCCAAGGCGUUGACGGGUAGCCGGCCUGAGAGGGUGGGCGGUCACACUGGGACUGAGACACGGCCCAGACUCCUACGGGAGGCAGCAGUGGGGAAUAUUGCACAAUGGGCGCAAGCCUGAUGCAGCGACGCCGCGUGAGGGAUGGAGGCCUUCGGGUUGUGAACCUCUUUCGCCAGUGAAGAAGGUCCUGCUCUUUGUGGUGGGGUUGACGGUAGCUGGGUUAAUGAAGCGCCGGCUAACUACGUG
rnacentral:rRNA from 1 species